rnacentral:rRNA from 1 species
CACGUAGGGUGCGAGCGUUGUCCGGAAUUAUUGGGCGUAAAGAGCUCGUAGGCGGUGUGUCGCGUCGGCCGUGAAAACCUGCAGCUUAUCUGUGGGCUUGCGGUCGAUACGGGCAUCACUGGAGUUCGGCAGGGGAGACUGGAAUUCCUGGUGUAGCGGUGAAAUGCGCAGAUAUCAGGAGGAACACCGGUGGCGAAGGCGGGUCUCUGGGCCGAUACUGACGCUGAGGAGCGAAAGCGUGGGGAGCGAACAGG